CAGACUCUGAACCACCACCACCACCACCACCACCACCACCACCACCACCACCACCACCACCACCACCACCAACUGAUCUCUGAGUUACUAAUCCCAGCAGCUGGGCGUGCCCUCACAUACAGGCAUCUCAGAGGCUGCUUGGCUGGCCCCUGUUUUCAGAACUGGGAGCUGGUGCUGCCAUAUUGAAAAGAAGGAAAGCGCCGGCUCUGGACACAAGCUGCCUGUGUCCCAGGGGGACCGAGCGCACUCCCUUUUCCAAGAUGAGAGGAGAGAAUUCUUUACUGACUUGAAGAUACAGCACUAGAUAAGAUUACUGAAAAACCAUAUAUUUGGAGGCUUUGUGGGAACAUCAACUACAGUUGUUCAGGGGAGGUCUGAGGAUCCAAGAACAUGAGAGAACAAAAAACAACAUGAAGAAUUGGCAGGACAGUUCUGUAACCCUGGACACCACAGUGGCUCCUGUGGACUCACAGGAUGUCUGCUCAUUCUGUGCUUGACACAGGUCACACAGCUUUGGCUCAGAAGGUCUCCUGAUUGUUAUUCAUCUUCGUCUAGGAGUCCCGACAGAUUAGCAUCCUGCUAAGGUUCACUGUCCAGUAAACCCCAAGGACUGAGUUUUAAAACUUCUAAUGCUUUUGCGAAGUGCUUUCCCCACUCUUACACA
rnacentral:lncRNA from 1 species